AUUGAACGCUGGCGGCAUGCUUUACACAUGCAAGUCGAACGGCAGCGGAGAGUGCUUGCACUCUGCCGGCGAGUGGCGAACGGGUGAGUAAUAUAUUGGAACGUACCGAGUAAUGGGGGAUAACUAUCCGAAAGGAUAGCUAAUACCGCAUACGCUUUGAGAAGGAAAGUGGGGGAUCUUCGGACCUCACGUUAUUCGAGCGGCCAAUAUCUGAUUAGCUAGUUGGUGGGGUAAAGGCCUACCAAGGCGACGAUCAGUAGCGGGUCUGAGAGGAUGAUCCGCCACACUGGGACUGAGACACGGCCCAGACUCCUACGGGAGGCAGCAGUGGGGAAUUUUGGACAAUGGGCGCAAGCCUGAUCCAGCCAUGCCGCGUGUCUGAAGAAGGCCUUCGGGUUGUAAAGGACUUUUGUUAGGGAAGAAAAGAAAUGGGUUAAUACCCCAUUUUGCAGACGUACCUAAAGAAUAAGCACC
rnacentral:rRNA from 1 species